CACGUCUUUACGAUUAUCCGAACAAUUAUCCCUUUAGAAAGCCCGAAAUUUCCUGGAAACACAAUCAAAACAACAAAAGCCAAUAAAUGCCUUUAGAGAAAUUUCUAUUAAAAUAAGUGGUCAACCCCCUGUUGAGGGGUAGCGAUUAGAAACGAUAGAUUAGAAAGUGGAUAUUUUCUUCGUUAAUCCCUUAUUAUCAGCACUAUUUUAUGACCUGCCCUCGCAUUAUGCAUAUAAAUGUACAAUUUUCUUAAGUGAAAUCAUAACGUGUCCAGACAUUUGGCCGUAACAUCUUCAAAUUUGCUGCAACGAUAUCUAACCGAAAAAAAAAAAAUGGGUGCCUCUAUCAAGCAAGUUAGGGUAAAAAGGCUGCUCUGUCCUUGUUGCGAAGAGAUUGUCGUGUAUCCGAUAUCCAAAGAUGCGACUUCCGUAAUUUGCUCACAUUGUAACAACACAAUAACGUACUGUAUGUUUUGUUGCAUGUUACACAUUGUAAUAACUUGAUAAGCUGUACUUUAUCAAAAGUUAGUUUAAGUUUGUAAUUCGUAAAUAAAUUCUAAUUUAUAUGUUCUCGUUGAAGGGAAAUAAACGCAAAUUCGUA